AUGCCCUGUCACUUUGCUGGAAAGCCAUCCAUCCAUCCAUCUUCCUCCGCUUUAUCCGGGGCCGGGUCGCGGGGGCAGCAGUCCGAGCAGAGUACUCCAGACCUCCCUCUCCCCGCACACCUCCUCCAGUUCCUCUGGGGGAACCCCAAGGCGUUCCCAGGCCAGCCGGGAGACAUAGUCUCUCCAACGUGUCCUGGGUCUGCCCCGAGGCCUCCUCCCAGUGGGACAAGCCCGGAGCACCUCCCCAGGGAGGCGUCCAGGAGGCAUCCGGAACAGAUGCCCGAGCCACCUCAACUGGCUCCUCUCGAUGCGGAGGAGCAGCGGCUCUACUCCGAGCUCCGCCCGGGUGACUGAGCUCCUCACCCUAUCCCUAAGGGUGCGCCCAGCCACUCUGCGGAGGAAACUCAUUUCUGCCGCUUGUAUCCGCGAUCUCAUUCUUUCGGUCAUGAUCCAGAGUUCAUGACCAUAGGUGAGGGUAGGAACGUAGAUCGACCGGUAAAUUGAGAGCUUCGCCUUACGACUCAGCUCCCUCUUCACCACAACAGACCGGUACAAUGACUGCAUUACUGCGGACGCCGCACCGAUCCGUCUGUCGACCUGCCGCUCCAUUCUUCCCCUCACUCGUGAACAAGACCCCAAGAUACUUAAACUCCUCCACUUGAGGGAGCAACUCCCCCCUAACCCGGAGGGAGCAAUCCACCUUUUUCCGACUGAGAACCAUGGCCUCGGAUUUGGAGGUGCUGAUUCUCAUCCCCGCCCCUUCGCACUCGGCUGCAAACCUCCCCAGUGCACGCUGCAAGUCUUGACUUGAUGAAGCCAACAGGACCACAUCGUCCGCAAAAAGCAGAGACGAGAUCUCGCGGCCACCAAAACAGACACCCUCCGUUCCCUGACUGCGCCUAGAAAUUCUGUCCAUAAAAAUAAUGAACAGAAUCGGUGACAAAGGGCAGCCCUGGCGGAGUCCAACAUGCACCGGGAACAGGUCUGACUUACUGCCGGCAAUGCGAACCAAGCUCCUGCUCCGGUCAUACAGGGAACGAACAGCCCGUAGCAACGAGCCCCGAACCCCAUAAUCCCGAAGCACCCCCCACAGGAUGCCACGAGGGACACGGUUGAAUGCCUUC
rnacentral:lncRNA from 1 species